rnacentral:rRNA from 1 species
UACAGAGGAUGCAAGCGUUAUCCGGAAUGAUUGGGCGUAAAGCGUCUGUAGGUGGCUUUUUAAGUCCGCCGUCAAAUCCCAGGGCUCAACUCUGGACAGGCGGUGGAAACUACCAAGCUGGAGUACGGUAGGGGCAGAGGGAAUUUCCGGUGGAGCGGUGAAAUGCGUAGAUAUCAUUUGGAACGCCAAUGGUGAAAACAGCUCGCUGGGAAUGAUCUGACGCUGAGACGCGAAAGCCAGGGGAGCGAACGGG